rnacentral:rRNA from 1 species
ACUGCUAAGACUGGAUAGGAGACAAGAAGGCAUCUUCUUGUUUUUAAAAGACCUAGCAAUAGGUAUGCUUAGGGAGGAGCUUGCGUCACAUUAGUUAGGUGGUGGGUUAAGGCUUUACCAAGAAUUGGAUGUGUAGCCGGGCUGGGAGCUCCACGGCCUCAUUGCGGGUGCGACACCGCCCCAAGUCCUGCGGGAGGCAGCAUUAGGGCACUCUCGGCAAUGGAGGAAACUCUGACCGAGCUACGCAGAGUGAACGAUGUAGUAUUUCGGUACGUAAAGUUCUUUUAGUAGGGAAGAAUAAAAGAUGGAAAAAUCAUUCUGACGGUACCUAAUGAAUAAGCCCCGGCUAACUAUGUGCCAGCAGGCGCGGUAAUACAUAGGGGGCAAGCGUUAUCCGGAAUUAUUGGGCGUAAAGGGUGCGUAGGCGGUUAAAUAAGUUUAUGGUCUAAGUGCAAUGCUCAACAUUGUGAUGCUAUAAACACUGUUUAGCUAGAGUAAGAUAGAGGCAAGUGGAAUUCCAUGUGUAGUGGUAAAAUGCGUAAAUAUAUGGAGGAACACCAGUAGCGAAGGCGGCUUGCUGGGUCUUUACUGACGCUGAGGCACGAAAGCGUGGGGAGCAAACAGGAUUAGAUACCCUGGUAGUCCACGCCGUAAACGAUGAGUACUAAACGUUGGGUAAAACCAGUGUUGAAGUUAACACAUUAAGUACUCCGCCUGAGUAGUACGUACGCAAGUAUGAAACUUAAAGGAAUUGACGGGACUCCGCACAAGCGGUGGAUCAUGUUGUUUAAUUCGAAGGUACCCGAAAAACCUCACCAGGUCUUGACAUGCUUCUGCAAAGCUGUAGAAACACAGUGGAGGUUAUCAGUUGCACAGGUGGUGCAUGGUUGUCGUCAGCUCGUGUCGUGAGAUGUUGGGUUAAGUCCCGCAACGAGCGCAACCCUUAUUGUUAGUUACCAGCACGUAAUGGUGGGGACUUUAGCAAGACUGCCAGUGAUAAAUUGGAGGAAGGUGGGGACGACGUCAAAUCAUCAUGCCCCUUAUGACCUGGGCUACAAACGUGAUACAAUGGCUGUUACAAAGGGUAGCUGAAGCGCAAGUUUUUGGCGAAUCUCAAAAAAACAGUCUCAGUUCGGAUUGAAGUCUGCAACUCGACUUCAUGAAGUUGGAAUCGCUAGUAAUCGCGAAUCAGCAUGUCGCGG